CCUACGGGUGGCAGCAGUAGGGAAUAUUGCUCAAUGGGGGAAACCCUGAAGCAGCAACGCCGCGUGGAGGAUGAAGGUUUUCGGAUUGUAAACUCCUUUUGUUAGAGAAGAAAAUGACGGUAUCUAACGAAUAAGCACCGGCUAACACCGUGACAGCAGCCGCUGUAAAACGGAGGGCGCAAGGGUUACUCGGAAUCACUGGGCGUAAAGAGCGCGUAGGCGGGAUAGCAAGUCAGAUGUGAAAUCCUAUGGCUUAACCAUAGAACUGCAUUUGAAACUGUUAUUCUAGAGGAUGGGAGAGGGAGGUGGAAUUCUUGGUGGAGGGGUGAAAUCCGUAGAGAUCAAGAGGAAUACUGAUUGCGAAGGCGACCUGCUAGACCAUAACUGACGCUGAUGCGCGAAAGCGUGGGGAGCAAACAGGAUUAGAUACCCUUGUAGUC
rnacentral:rRNA from 1 species